rnacentral:rRNA from 1 species
GUGCGCGCUGGCGGUAGGCCUCACACCUGCCAGUCGAACGGCAGCACAGUAAGAGCUUGCUCUUACGGGUGGCGAGUGGCGGACGGGUGAGGAAUACAUCGGAAUCUACUUUUUCGUGGGGGAUAACGUAGGGAAACUUACGCUAAUACCGCAUACGACCUACGGGUGAAAGCAGGGGAUCUUCGGACCUUGCGCGAUUGAAUGAGCCGAUGUCGGAUUAGCUAGUUGGCGGGGUAAAGGCCCACCAAGGCGACGAUCCGUAGCUGGUCUGAGAGGAUGAUCAGCCACACUGGAACUGAGACACGGUCCAGACUCCUACGGGAGGCAGCAGUGGGGAAUAUUGGACAAUGGGCGCAAGCCUGAUCCAGCCAUACCGCGUGGGUGAAGAAGGCCUUCGGGUUGUAAAGCCCUUUUGUUGGGAAAGAAAAGCAGCAGGUUAAUACCCCGCUGUUCUGACGGUACCCAAAGAAUAAGCACCGGCUAACUUCGUG